AAAAUCUGGAGAGCAGCUUAAGAUUUAUAAGCAUGGAGAAUAAAAACUUAUAAGUCAUAAACUCACCGAAGGGGAAGAUCGAAAUACUAAAAGGUAGUAUUUAGGUCGAAACUCUCAGGUACAAAUGACAGAUGGGCUGUA
rnacentral:ncRNA from 1 species